UACGGCCAAGUCACGUUGAAACACCAGUUCCCGUACGUUCACCGGAGUUAAGCAACGUCGAACUUCGUCACUACCUAGAUGGGUGAUCGCUUGGGAAUACCGAGAGCU